AUAGGAUUUCAGUAGAUGCUUUGUGGGGCAUUUAGGAAGGCUGCCAAGAAUGAGCUCAUUCAGUUGGAUCUAGGCCCUUUGGUUCCUCACUGCUCCUCCACUCCUGCUUCCAGGGAUAUAGACAUGAUGGCUGGAGGUCCAGCAUCCACGUUGGGCCCCGAGGCAACCUUGAGGAUGAAAGUCACGUGUUGAGAUGUUAGAGCAGAAAGAUCCAAGCAGCCUAGAUUCCUGAGCAUCUUGGAGCCACCACAGUGAUCUUGACCCUUGUUCUAAAUGGUCUGGAGUUUUGGGGGUUAUUGGUUUUACGUUUGCUCUCUCUGAGCCUGCCACUCAUCUGCUGUUCAUUCUUGUAAGGAAGAUGCUUGGUGCAUCUCACAGAAGCAUCUGACUGUCACCAAGCCCUGACCACAUUCUAAACAUCUUCCAUGGUGAUUUCGGUUUUAUACCCACUCUGCCUCUCUCGUUGAGAUGAAGCUGCUGGCAUGAGCCUAUAAUUAUGUGAGGUGAGCACACAUUUCUAUAAUUUAACCCAGGAUGGAAUUAUGUCAUUAUCCAUUUAUUGGUGCCCUGUGGUCAAACCGGGAGCAGAUGACUGUGAGUGGACCCUGGGAGGAUCAGACAUCUGUGUGCGAGCCCUUUUGGGGUGAAGUUCGUAGGGCAAUAAAAGGAGAGAGAGACCCCCUUCUUCUCCCCAGAGCACCACCCCCUUGGUGUAGGCUGAGCCCAGAGGGCAUGAGAAAAUGAGCCCGUUUCCAGCUUCCUGGAGAAUGUGCCCUCCAUGCCCAUCAGGGAUCCUUGUAGAGCAGGUUCCUGUGCCGUGAAAAGCGCAAGGCACCCGCUCUGUCACCUCUCCAGAUGUAUGCCUCCCAGCCUCUGCUUUAUGUCGUCUGUUCUUCACCUGUGAUCAGAAAAUGAGCCGUGAAAAAACUCAAUAGCCCGUUUGGGAACCCACGUAAGUUUCCUGUGACCACGGGCCGUCAGGCGGAGCUGGGCUUUUUGGCAAAGCCGCGCCUUUGUAAGGGUCUCGUGUUUUGCGUGCAAGCCUCCAUCCAGAGGCUGGUUCCUGAUCUGCACGGAAUCCAAGGACGGUGACGCUUCCUCUGCGAAGGGCGACAACAGCCUUCCUCCACUCUGAAGCUGGGGCCGAAUGACAAAGGUGGGAGCCCCGAGGAACAUUUGCCAAGUUCUAGAAGUCAGGCUUUUUUUUUUUUUUUUCUGGUCUUUCCUGGAUUUCUCCUUGGGGAACACUGACCCACAGAACUUUUUGUGCGAUGAUGGGGUGUGAGGCUGGGAAAAGCAUCCAGAUGUGAACCCUGAAUUGAGUGGUAAGCCCCAGCUCCCCGAGGAAGGAAGGGGUUUAGGCCGAUACUGGUCUGAGGCUGCGGAAGACACGUUGCUCCUGGGUGGUCCAGGGGAGGAGAUGUCACCACGGGGCUGACUGCAGCAUGGACCACACGGGAGGCUGCCACACUUUCUCCGGGAUGCUGUGGAUGCUGACGGUGCGGGGAAGAGAAGCGAGUUGCUGGCAGCUUUUGAGCAACGGGGUUGUGGGGUGAGUUUGAGGGAGUGAAGGGAUGCUGUGAGCCUGGGGGGAUGCGUAGGACUCUGGUCACUUGGGGGCACAGGUGGGGACACGGCGAGUCCCCGUUUCCUGGCCCCUCCUGAAGCCAGGGCUCCCUGGAGGUUGGAUCUGAAGUCGGUGGUGAGGGACACGAGCCGGGCGGCGAAGGGAGGCCAGAGAGGUAGAGACCUUCGGAGGGAGACCUGCCCGCAGUCCCUCGUCCAACAAGCUGGAGUUCGAGCAAGCAGUUCAUGAGGUGUUCUCCGCAUCUCUGUCUCUGUCUCUGUCUGUCUGUCUCUCUCCCUCUGUCUCCGCCACUUCCCUCUCUCUGUCUCUCACACACACACAUGCACACAUACCGCACAAGUCCCGGGGACAAACGAAGAAGCAGCCCUUCCGCGCGCUGGCAAAGGAAGACGGCUCAGAAUCUGUCCUGACCGCCCCGCUGCCUUUCCCGGCGGAGUCUGAAACUGUCAGUCCGCUGUCUUGUUCAGACGUUUGAAAAGUGUGGUUGAGGUCAUUGUGUUCAUUUCUGCCCUGCAGCAGGUGAUUCGUAUUUAGGCCCAUUCUUUUUCGUAUCCGAUUCCGUGAUGGUUUAUCGCAGGAGACCGAAGAGAGUUCCCUGUGCUGUACAGCGGGUCUGUGGGGUUCGUCCAUCCUGUGAUAUACAAGGUUGCACCUGCCAACCCCAAACUCCCCGUCCACCCCAUGCCCUCCCCCUCCCCGUUGGCAACCACACAUCUGGGCUCUGCCUCGGAGUCUGUUUCUAUUCUGUGGAUGGGUUCAUCUGUGCCCGUAUUUCAGAUUCCACGUAGAAUGGGUAUCAGAUGAUGUAUGUCUUUCUCUGUCUGACUUACCUCACUCAGUAUCAUCAUCUCUAGGUUCCAUCCGGGUGGCUGCAGGUGGCAUCAUCUCAUUCCUUUUUAUGGCUGAGGAAUGUUCCGUUGUCUCUGUGGACCACAUCUUCUUGAUCCAGUCCUCUGUCGAUGGACAUUUAGGUUGUGUCCAUGUUUUUGGCUGUUGUGAAUAGGGCUGCUGUGACCAUGGGGAUACCUGUAUCUUUUUGAAUUAUGGUUUUCUCUGGAUAGAUGCCCAUGCAGGGGAUUGCUGGGUCCUGUGGCAGAGGAGUUGUUAUCCUGAAGGCAGGAGAAAGGGACCAGGUCAACAAGCUUUGGCGUCUUGACCUUGGGCAUCCUGACUCUUUGGUGAGUAUGAUCUCAGGGGAGAGGCACCAUCAGACCUAUGUUUGCUGCAGAAAAAGAAAGCUCGAACCAACCCUCCCAGUUGUAUUUACAGGGAAGACACAGGCUGUUUUCCCUCCAGCCUUCUGGAAUGGACAUCACCUUUCUUAAAUAUCCCAAACAAGUUGGCGGAGAACAAAAUCUGACCCCGUGAAGUACCGCUUAAGGAAUAGAACACAUCCACAGCCGGCAUAGCCUGAGUUCUGGUUCAAGCAAAAAAAAAAAAAAAAAAA
ensembl:lncRNA